rnacentral:rRNA from 1 species
UACGAAGGGGGCUAGCGUUGUUCGGAUUAACUGGGCGUAAAGCGCGCGUAGGCGGGUUUUUAAGUCAGGGGUGAAAUCCUGGAGCUCAACUCCAGAACUGCCUUCGAUACUGGCGAUCUUGAGUCCGGAAGAGGUGAGUGGAACUCCUAGUGUAGAGGUGGAAUUCGUAGAUAUUAGGAAGAACACCAGUGGCGAAGGCGGCUCACUGGUCCGGUACUGACGCUGAGGUGCGAAAGGCGUGGGGAGCAAACAGG